UACGUAGGGGCGAGCGUUGUCCGGAAUGAUUGGGCGUAAAGGGCGCGUAGGCGGCUGAUUAAGUCUGGAGUGGAAGUCCUAUUUUCAAGGUAGGAAUUGCUUUGGAAACUGAUCAGCUUGAGUGCAGGAGAGGUUAUCGGAAUUCCCGGUGUAGCGGUGAAAUGCGUAGAGAUCGGGAGGAACACCGGUGGCGAAGGCGGGUAACUGGACUGCAACUGACGCUGAGGCGCGAAAGUGUGGGGAGCAAACAGGAUUAGAUACCCCUGUAGUCCCU
rnacentral:rRNA from 1 species